UUGAACGCUGGCGGCAGGCCUAACACAUGCAAGUCGAGCGGUAGCACAGAGAGCUUGCUCUCGGGUGACGAGCGGCGGACGGGUGAGUAAUGUCUGGGAAACUGCCUGAUGGAGGGGGAUAACUACUGGAAACGGUAGCUAAUACCGCAUAAUGUCGCAAGACCAAAGUGGGGGACCUUCGGGCCUCAUGCCAUCAGAUGUGCCCAGAUGGGAUUAGCUAGUAGGUGGGGUAACGGCUCACCUAGGCGACGAUCCCUAGCUGGUCUGAGAGGAUGACCAGCCACACUGGAACUGAGACACGGUCCAGACUCCUACGGGAGGCAGCAGUGGGGAAUAUUGCACAAUGGGCGCAAGCCUGAUGCAGCCAUGCCGCGUGUGUGAAGAAGGCCUUCGGGUUGUAAAGCACUUUCAGCGGGGAGGAAGGCGUUAAGGUUAAUAACCUUGGCGAUUGACGUUACCCGCAGAAGAAGCACCGGCUAACUCCGUGCCAGCAGCCGCGGUAAUACGGAGGGUGCAAGCGUUAAUCGGAAUUACUGGGCGUAAAGCGCACGCAGGCGGUCUGUCAAGUCGGAUGUGAAAUCCCCGGGCUCAACCUGGGAACUGCAUUCGAAACUGGCAGGCUAGAGUCUUGUAGAGGGGGGUAGAAUUCCAGGUGUAGCGGUGAAAUGCGUAGAGAUCUGGAGGAAUACCGGUGGCGAAGGCGGCCCCCUGGACAAAGACUGACGCUCAGGUGCGAAAGCGUGGGGGGCGAACAGGAUUAGAUACCCUGGUAGUCCACGCCGUAAACGAUGUCGAUUUGGAGGUUGUGCCCUUGAGGCGUGGCUUCCGGAGCUAACGCGUUAAAUCGACCGCCUGGGGAGUACGGCCGCAAGGUUAAAACUCAAAUGAAUUGACGGGGGCCCGCACAAGCGGUGGAGCAUGUGGUUUAAUUCGAUGCAACGCGAAGAACCUUACCUGGUCUUGACAUCCACAGAACUUUCCAGAGAUGGAUUGGUGCCUUCGGGAACUGUGAGACAGGUGCUGCAUGGCUGUCGUCAGCUCGUGUUGUGAAAUGUUGGGUUAAGUCCCGCAACGAGCGCAACCCUUAUCCUUUGUUGCCAGCGGUCCGGCCGGGAACUCAAAGGAGACUGCCAGUGAUAAACUGGAGGAAGGUGGGGAUGACGUCAAGUCAUCAUGGCCCUUACGACCAGGGCUACACACGUGCUACAAUGGCAUAUACAAAGAGAAGCGACCUCGCGAGAGCAAGCGGACCUCAUAAAGUAUGUCGUAGUCCGGAUUGGAGUCUGCAACUCGACUCCAUGAAGUCGGAAUCGCUAGUAAUCGUAGAUCAGAAUGCUACGGUGAAUACGUUCCCGGGCCUUGUACACACCGCCCGUCACACCAUGGGAGUGGGUUGCAAAAGAAGUAGGUAGCUUAACCUUCGGGAGGGCGCUUACCACUUUGUGAUUCAUGACUGGGGUG
rnacentral:rRNA from 1 species